rnacentral:tRNA from 1 species
UGGCUCAGUUGGUAGAGCAUGGUGUUUGCAACGCCAGGGUUGUGGGUUCAAUUCCCGC